GACCUGAUAGCACAAUGUCGAGUGCAUCUGCUUCUUGUGCCUCAAAUAGCACAUCUCAAACAGGAGACCCCGGUUCGAUUCCGGGUCAGGUCA